rnacentral:rRNA from 1 species
AUUGAACGCUGGCGGCAUGCUUUACACAUGCAAGUCGAACGGCAGCGCGGGCUUCGGCCUGGCGGCGAGUGGCGAACGGGUGAGUAAUACAUCGGAACGUGCCCAGUAGCGGGGGAUAGCUCGGCGAAAGCCGGAUUAAUACCGCAUACGACCUGAGGGCGAAAGCGGGGGAUCUUCGGACCUCGCGCUAUUGCAGCGGCCGAUGGCAGAUUAGCUAGUUGGGGGGGUAAAGGCCUACCAAGGCGACGAUCUGUAGCUGGUCUGAGAGGACGACCAGCCACACUGGGACUGAGACACGGCCCAGACUCCUACGGGAGGCAGCAGUGGGGAAUUUUGGACAAUGGGCGAAAGCCUGAUCCAGCAAUGCCGCGUGGGUGAUGAAGGCCUUCGGGUUGUAAAGCACUUUUGGCGGGAACGAAAAGGACUGUGCCAAUACCACGGUUCGAUGACGGUACCCGCAGAAUAAGCACCGGCUAACUACGUG